CGAGAAGCUUCUUUCGGGAAGUGGACAGUGGCGGACGGGUGAGUAACACGUGGGAACAUGCCUUUUGGUACGGAACAACGCUUGGAAACGAGUGCUAAUACCGUAUACGCCCUUAGGGGGAAAGAUUUAUCGCCGAAAGAUUGGCCCGCGCUAGAUUAGCUAGUUGGUAAGGUAAUGGCUUACCAAGGCUACGAUCUAUAGCUGGUUUGAGAGGAUGAUCAGCCACACUGGGACUGGGACACGGCCCAGACUCCUACGGGAGGCAGCAGUGGGGAAUAUUGGACAAUGGGGGCAACCCUGAUCCAGCGAUGCCGCGUGAGUGAUGAAGGCCUUAGGGUUGUAAAACUCUUUCAGGGGUGAAGAUAAUGACGGUAACCCCAGAAGAAGCUCCGGCUAACUCCGUGCCAGCAGCCGCGGUAAUACGGAGGGAGCUAGCGUUGUUCGGAAUUACUGGGCGUAAAGCGCGCGUAGGCGGCUUGGCAAGUAGAGGGUGAAAUCCCAGGGCUUAACCCUGGAACUGCCUCCUAAACUGCUGAGCUAGAAUCCUGGAGAGGUGAGCGGAAUUCCUAGUGUAGAGGUGAAAUUCGUAGAUAUUAGGAAGAACACCAGUGGCGAA
rnacentral:rRNA from 1 species